UACGUAGGGGGCAAGCGUUGUCCGGAUUUAUUGGGCGUAAAGAGCGUGUAGGCGGUUUGGUAGGUCCGUUGUGAAAACUCGAGGCUCAACCUCGAGACGCCGAUGGAAACCAUCAGACUAGAGUCCGGAAGAGGAGAGUGGAAUUCCUGGUGUAGCGGUGAAAUGCGCAGAUAUCGUAAGGAAGACCAGUGGCGAAGGCGAAUCUCUGGACAGUUACUGACACUGAGGCACGAAGGCCAGGGGAGCAAACGGG
rnacentral:rRNA from 1 species